CACUGGAGAUGUACAGGAUUUUGACUGUUACAUCCAUCCUACUGAAUUCUGUGCUGAUUAUUGCAAUAAUAGGUAUGUUAAUGAUCAAACUUAAGAAGCCAAGAAAAAGUCGACGACAACCCCAGAAUGUUGAACCAGAGCAGAUCGAGGACUUAAACACUGCACAGUAUUCCGAAAUCGAGUUACCCACAUAUUCCAGAAGAGAAAAUCCCAUUCAGACAAACGGCACUUAUGAACUUCUUCAGAAGCCAGAGCUGCAUCCUAGAUCAACACAUGCAGAAAUCAUCACAACAUACAAAGUUGAUAAUGAGGCAGUCUGACACCUUCUGUGCAUGAAUCCUUUUCGGUAGGAUUAAGUUUUAUAAAGGUCAAUAUGUUUCCGUCACUGUUUGAAUGAAAACAUGUUAUUUGCUUAUUUAUAAAAUGCAUAAUUUGGAGCAAAUACCUUAGACAUGUUAACAGAUCAGGCUUGAUUAAUGUGUUUCAAUGCAUUAACAUUAAAUUACAAUGGACAAUAUGUAUUAAUCCUGAUUAAUGUAUAUUCAUGUUAACAUACAUAACUAGUUUAUUAUGAAGUAUAUUAUUUAAGUUUGAUUGUAUUGAUUGUAAUUGAUUUUAUUUUAAGUGGUUAAUCAUGCAUGCUGGUUUAGGAUGAUUUAGUUGGUCCCCAGACUGGCCAAGCUGGUGUUUAGCUGGUCUCCCAAAUCUGGCCAGCUGACAAGUACCCAAACCACAUCAAAAACCAUAAAAUUAGGUCAGAAAACGACUUUUCUUGAAUAAAAGUGCAAAAACAAUUAUGAUACAAGGUCGAACAAAGCACAAAAUGGGAAGAUAAAAACAUGGUCUAGAUAUGCAACACUGACUUAGGUUUUGACAUGCUUCUAUCGUGUGAACAGAUUGGUAAAAGUGCUACUUCCUGUUUCUGAAAAGAAUAAAAACACCAAUUAGAGAACAACAGCGAAAUGUCUACAUGCAUUAAGGUCAAAAACUAGUUAAGAGGUCUAGGGUUAAAAAUGGUUUCAGAAAGUGUUUUAAACUUUCUGAACAUUGUUUUCAUCAGUAAAGUGUUGUAGCAUGCACUUGUGACUCAUAAAGACAUUAAAACUUGUUUUAAGA